rnacentral:tRNA from 1 species
GUAGUCGUGGCCGAGUGGUUAAGGCGAUGUACUAGAAAUCCAAUGGGCUCUGCCCGCGCUGGUUCGAAUCCUGCCGACUACG